GCGUGAGGGAUGACGGCCUUCGGGUUGUAAACCUCUUUCAGCACAGACGAAGCGCGAGUGACGGUUUGUGCAGAAUAAGGACCGGCCAACUACGUGCCAGCAGCCGCGGUAAUACGUAGGGUCCGAGCGUUGUCCGGAUUUACUGGGCGUAAAGAGCUCGUAGGUGGUUUGUCGCGUUGUUCGUGAAAACUCACAGCUUAACUGUGGGCCUGCGGGCGAUACGGGCAGACUUGAGUACUGCAGGGGAGACUGGAAUUCCUGGUGUAGCGGUGGAAUGCGCAGAUUUCAGGAGGAACACCGGUGGCGAAGGCGGGUCUCUGGGCCGUAACUGACGCUGAGGAGCGAAAGCGUGGGGAGCGAACAGGAUUAGAUACCCUGGUAGUCCACGCCGUAAACGGUGGGUACUAGGUGUGGGUUUCCUUCCUUGGGAUCCGUGCCGUAGCUAACGCAUUAAGUACCCCGCCUGGGGAGUACGGCCGCAAGGCUAAAACUCAAAGAAAUUGACGGGGGCCCGCACAAGCGGCGGGAGCAUGUGGAUUAAUUCGAUGCAACGCGAAGAACCUUACCUGGGUUUGACAUGCACACGAAGCCUGUAGAGAUA
rnacentral:rRNA from 1 species